AUGCCAUAUAGGUACAAAAGCUUUUAACCCGGUGUUUGCUUGGCACUUGACAAAACUUUUGAAUUUUUUGUUAUGGUCACGUGUUAGCUGAAAAGAUGGAAAACUUAAUGCCAGUCAACCUAAAAUAGAUUCUUUAAAGGAGAUAUUUACAUGCAAAUAUAAUGCAAGUUAUACUGAUCUGUAUCUUUUCUUUGCUCCAGUAAGUACAAAGAUCUAUCCACUCUACCGUGGUCACAGAACUUGGCUUUGAGUCC
rnacentral:lncRNA from 1 species